rnacentral:rRNA from 1 species
UCCAGACUCCUACGGGAGGCAGCAGUGGGGGAUAUUGCACAAUGGGGGGAACCCUGAUGCAGCGACGCCGCGUGAGUGAAGAAGUAAUUCGUUAUGUAAAGCUCUAUCAGCAGGGAAGAAAAUGACGGUACCUGAGUAAGAAGCCCCGGCUAACUACGUGCCAGCAGCCGCGGUAAUACGUAGGGAGCGAGCGUUGUCCGGAAUUACUGGGUGUAAAGGGAGCGUAGGCGGGGAUGCAAGUUGGGUGUAAAAACUACCGGCUCACCUGGUAGUCGCACUCAAAACUGCAGGUCUUGAGUGAAGUAGAGGCAGGCGGAAUUCCUAGUGUAGCGGUGAAAUGCGUAGAUAUUAGGAGGAACACCAGUGGCGAAGGCGGCCUGCUGGGCUUUUACUGACGCUGAGGCUCGAAAGUGUGGGGAGCAAACAGGAUUAGAUACCCCCGUAAC